rnacentral:misc_RNA from 1 species
GCAAACUUGGUCAUUUAGAGGAAGUAAAAGUUGUAACAAGGUUUCCGUAGGUGAACCUGCGGAAGGAUCAUUAACAAAUCCAAUAAUUGCUGGAGAACACUUGUUCUUUCUGCAAAUAUUAAUCCGUUGGCCGCUCUUAGAGCAGCUGGCUGUGAUAUAAAUGCGUGUUAUGUUGACAGUGUGUGUAUGUACAAGUUAAUAUUGACAACUUUUAACAAUGGAUCUCUAGGCUCUUGCAUCGAUGAAGAACGCAGC